GAAGACACUCGGGCGAUAAACAUUUAUUUUUAUGGCACCCGCGCGACCGUUUUAUCGUUAUUGUUUUUUAAUGAAUUUUCCGAAUCAUCGCGGCCGACCGUUUAUAUACCGUCAUCCCUCUGGUCGGGGGCGGUGGCCCGCACACGCACACACACAUAAUAAAACGCGUAUUAACAAUAUUAAUAACGGCAAUAUUCGCAUG